GCGUCGAUGGUGCACGGCGCACGCAACCACAAUCUAAACGGUUUGACGUGAGGUUUGAGAUUGGUUGAACCGGGGGUUCGACUCCCCCUCGACGCA